rnacentral:RNase_P_RNA from 1 species
AAGCAUUGCUUGCUGACAGGCCCCCACUUCUCAUAGGGGAGAGAGGAAAGUCCGAACUCCACAGGGCAUGGCGCUGGAUAACAUCCAGUCCUGGCAACAGGAAGGAAAGUGCAACAGAAAAAAAACCGCCUUUUUGAAAAAAGAGGUAAGGGUGAAAAGGCGAGUUAAGAGCUCACCGGCAGCCAGGUGACUGGCUGGCUUUGAAAACCCCGCCUGGAGCAAGACCAAAUAGGGAAGCAUGGGAUGACCCGUCUAAAGCUUCCGGGUUAGGUCGCACGAGAAAACAGGUAACUGUUUUCCUAGAGAAAUGAUCAUCGCCUGGGUCACGUAACCGGGAACAGAAUUCGGCUUAUGGGCUAUCUUAAUU